rnacentral:rRNA from 1 species
CAGUUCGGAUCGCAGGCUGNAACCCGCCUGCGUGAAGUUGGAAUCGCUAGUAAUCGCGGAUCAGCAUGCCGCGGUGAAUACGUUCCCGGGCCUUGUACACACCGCCCGUCACACCAUGAGAGUCGGGAACACCCGAAGUCCGUAGCCUAACCGCAAGGGGGGCGCGGCCGAAGGUGGGUUCGAUAAUUGGGGUGAAGUCGUAACAAGGUAAC